rnacentral:lncRNA from 1 species
CCCCUCCUUCCUCCUGCCAGUAUGGGAGAAAUGUGCUGGCCUCAGCAAGGAUGACUGAGUUAGAAAAAUAUCCAUAUUUAUACUCGAUUUCCACUCUUGGAACACUUGCUUUUGGAAGCCAGCUGCCAUCUAAGUAUGACUACUCUGAAACCGCCGUGCUGUGAGGAACCCGAGCCAUGUAGAGACUGCGGCCAAGAAGCACCGAG